UCUUGUACACACCGCCCGUCACACCAUGGGAGUCUGCAAUGCCCAAAGCCGGUGGCCUAACCUUCGGGAAGGAGCCGUCUAAGGCAGGGCAGAUGACUGGGGUGAAGUCGUAACAAGGUAGCCGUAGGAGAACCUGCGGCAUGGAUCACCUCCUUUCUAAGGAAGCGAAGGGAAUUAAUGGGGAAGG
rnacentral:misc_RNA from 1 species